rnacentral:rRNA from 1 species
UACGUAGGGUGCGAGCGUUGUCCGGAAUUACUGGGCGUAAAGAGCUCGUAGGUGGUUUGUCGCGUUGUUCGUGAAAACCGGGGGCUUAACCCUCGGCGUGCGGGCGAUACGGGCAGACUGGAGUACUGCAGGGGAGACUGGAAUUCCUGGUGUAGCGGUGGAAUGCGCAGAUAUCAGGAGGAACACCGGUGGCGAAGGCGGGUCUCUGGGCAGUAACUGACGCUGAGGAGCGAAAGCGUGGGGAGCGAACA